CUGAUACAUGGCAUCAUCCUAUCUCUGGUUUCCCCUUUGUCCUCCAUCCAGGUGCCUCUUCUGCUUCAUUCUCUCCCAUAUCACUUGUGCAUGCGUGUAAUGUUUCAAUACCAAUUGAAGAACUCUGUAGGUACCUGCCUAAUAAGAUUUCUAAACCCAUAGUUAGUGUGAACAUGAAAUUGUCAAAAACAAGUCUCCACCCAUAAUUGUUCUUUUGUAUUCCUGUUGCUUGAGCUACAUUAAGUAGAAUGUGCAUGUUGUAGUCCUAUGAUGAUGUUAACUUGGUACUACAUAAUGACUUGCUCCUCACACUUGGUAAACUACAUAAUAAUGUACUGGUAAAUUAGCAAGAAACAAGAAUGCAGCAGAAUCUGUCUAGCUUAUUAAAGAUGAUAUUGAAUAGUAAAAAUAGCUCCUUUUUUGGUGCUUGGUAAGCACAGUGACCAAAAAACUGUAUGGCUGUUCAUUCAUUAGUCUUACCUACUAAUGUCAAACUCAUGGUACCUACAGUUAAAUAAAAUCCAAUGCUCUCACUCUUUACACUAUGGUUUCUCCUUCUUCCUAACUAUGUAGACUCUUGAAAAUGCCACAAACUUGGCAGAACUUCCUGGGGUUUUUAAUUUCAUGUUUAAUUGGCUGUCAUCAAUAACCUGAUGUUGAAAACAUUUGUAGUUUUCAGUAUGAAACUAUGGGGUUGAAGACUCCCUUUUACACUAGUAUAUCUUGCAUUUUUGGCUGUAUUUUAGAUUCUUAUAUAUAUACAGUUUCACCUUAGAACUUUUUCAUCAACUAAUCAGGGUUGUCCAACACUUAUCUAUAAAAGUCACUUUGGCAUUUGUUUUCAACUAAGGAAACAAAUAUAGCUCAUUGGAGACUGGAUUUUUUUCCCUUUUUUUCAUCAUUUAGCUCAAAAGCAAAAGGUUUCCUCUCAGAGUCUUGUAAAAUCAUAUUAGAACUAGCAGGACAUAGGAAAACAUUAAGAAAUCUUUGUCUAGAUUAAAGAAAGGAGGCAGGUUAUAAAGCCAUAUAGCCAGUACAGUUCAUCCUGCAGAUGGCCUCAUACCAGUAGCUGUUAGAGUCCCCACCUCCACUUCUUACAGGGAACUGCAGAUUUUAAAGGCUCUCUCAAAAAAGGUGACAGCGCCAAGACCCGGAAAAGGAGAAGACCUCCUUGGAGAACCAUAAUGUACUCUUCACUGCCACUACCACCACCAAAUGGAUUUUUAGAGCUUGAAACAGUCUUUGUAAGUUAAUCAAAGCAUCCCUGUGACAUACCUGCCUUCUCCCUGUGCCCAAGUUUGAUGAACAGUGGCUGAGAGGUAGAAUAGGCUGCAUUGUGGAAGGACUGCAGGACAGAUGGGCAGCCAGGGUAGAGGCUCCUUCCCCCACAUGAGAUGGUGUACAUCUCUAGGCAAUCAAAGUUGGACUUUGGACUCUGAAACAGCUAUAAUACAAGAAAGUUAAAACCCCAGUGGAGGUAAAGAACCCUUUGACUAAUUAUUCUCUUGUACCCAAGAAAGGUACUGCUGUAUGUACACUUACUGCAAGAAGGAUCUUGUUUACUAUCUUCUUCUGGACUGGAUAGUUAACUAUAUUUUAUGAUAGUUUUGAAAGACAUCUGUAAUGUAAAGACUGUCCAUAUUAAUAACUAAAUAAAUUGUAUAUCAAACCAUAAUGGCGGCAUCAUUUGGUUUGUUUGUGUAAUUUACUUCUAUUUCCAUCUCCUAGAACAGUGCUUUACUCAAUUGUUGGUGCUCAAUAAAUAUUUGUUGAAUGAAUUCUGAUUUCCAUGAAACAUCCAUACUGCCCAAAAAAAUUCUACAUAGAUUGCUAGAGAAACUGAGAUUUAGAUCAUUGUCUGACUUCAGAGAUUUUUUUUUUUGAAGGCAGGAUCCUUCCCCAUUAUACAGAAAACCUCAGAACAGAGGCAUCCACAAGUAAUAGAUUUGAGAGAUGCCAUUCUCUGUCAACUGCCAGCAAUCAGUUUGCUGAUAUGCUAGAAACUCCUCUCCAGCAAAACAACAUGCAGUUCAAAUCAGCAGCUGUUCUACAAGAGACCAGAAGCCUGUGCCCUUAUAGUGACGAAUGCAUCACACGUGAUGUGCUGCUAUGCCAUAACAGUGGGUAGGAGCCCACAGACAGUACUACCCUUACCUCUAUCUUAAUGGAGGCCACCUCUAGCUUGCUACCCACUAUGAGUGCAUUCUAAGGGAGAGAAUGGGAGGUGCAGCACCACAAAGCUUGAAUUAUCACCUUGUGCCAGGACUAGAGCACAGAUGAAGAGCAAAACCAGAAAUGAGAGUUCCGGAAGAAGAUGGAGACUAAGGUGGCCAGGUCUACAGAAGCAGGCCGUGAAUAUAGGUCCCUACUAGUACUUCCUUUUCCUCUCUCUUCAUAUGUCAAGUGGGAAGAACAUCUCUUGCUUUCCUGCUGCUUGGUGUCAUAUUUGUCCAGUAAGAAGUGUAGAGUCUCCCACUUUCCAAGGCAACCAGAGGAUCCGAGUGAUGCAUGAGCAGCACUGUUCACACAGCGAUUUCCCUGGUUUCUCUCGUCUGCAGCCUCAUCGAUGCAGCUUUCAAGGAAUCAGAAUGGCUUAAGACCCCUCGUCAGUUUCUCAGUGUGGCCUCUCGGCACCUGCUGGAUCCACUGGUAUCUUUGUCACCUCCUGGACACUCAGUGCUCCUGCCAAGCCCUCCCUCGUCUCUUAA